UUGGAAGUAAAUAAUCGUAACAAGGUUUCCGUAGGUGAACCUGCGGAAGGAUCAUUAACAUUAAUUUACUACACACUGUUUUUUUACAACAAAACAAAUCUAUCUAAAAACAAUUCUUUACAAGAAAUUCUUAAAACUUUCAACAACGGAUCUCUUGGUUCUCGCAUCGAUGAAGAACGCAGCGAAAUGCGAUACGUAAUACGAAUCGCAGCUCUCGGAAUCAUCGAAUCUUUGAACGCACAUUGCACCAUUGGGUAUUCCCAAUGGUAUGCUUGUUUGAGCGAAUACUUCCCUAAUCCUCACGGAUUGUAUUGUGUUUGCACGAAAAUAAUGACGACAGUACUCUACAAAACGGUACCGUCAGUACACUCAUUUUUUUUCCUCAAAUCAAGUAGGACUACCCGCUGAACUUAAGCAUAUCAAAA
rnacentral:rRNA from 1 species